CAUCUUACAUGGCAGCAGGAGAGAAAAGAGGGAGGAGGGACCUACCAAACACUUUUCUCUUGUUCUGGAAGAACACUUCUUGUUUGUUUUCACUUGUUUUGGAAGAAGACGGCUGCCAUGUCAUGAGGACACUCAAGAAACCCUGUGAAGAGGUUUCUGUGUUGAGAAACUGAGGCCUCCAACCAGCAGCCAUGUGAGCAAGCCAUCUUUUAAUCCAAUCCUCUAGCCCAAAUUAAGUUCCCAGAUGGGUGCAGUCAUAGCCAACAGCUUGAAUCCAACACCAGGAGAGAAACAAAGCAAUCUGAAAGGUCAUUUAAAGGUGAUACGGCAUCAAGAACUGCAUCUCUGAGUCACCACUUAGAGGAAACACACCCUGCAAUGUCACCCAAGCAUCUGCCUUCCCAGUAAUAUCUGCACUGGAUUAAUCUGUGGGCAAGAAGGGAACUUUUAUUCUGUAAAGCUCCUGAGAUUUUGAUGUUAUUUGUUACAGCUGUUAGCAUCAGUUAUUUCAUUCAGAGAUGGAACAUGAAAA
rnacentral:lncRNA from 10 species